CGACUGAUGGGCCUUAAACUGCCGCAAAAGGGGCGCGUUCCGAUUGGUGUCCCGUGGGAAUUUCGGUGCCGUCCCUCACUGGGCUGAGUUCCUGCUGGAGUGAGGAGCCCUGGUGGAAUCCGAGGCGCGCCAAGAGAAGUGCUGAAUUCUCUAUGAAUCCAUGCAUCCUGCAAACGUUUUUUGAGCACCCAUUAGGGCCGAGGCGCAGAACUGAGAACGCAGCCAUGAAAGGGCGCUGUUCCUGCCCCAGUGGUGCUCAGUCUGGUGGGGAGACGCUCCAGGCUUCAUAUGGUGAAACUUUCUCUGGGAAGGAAAGCAGCUCAGAGUCCCACACAGGAAAUUCUUCAGCUGGAAGGAUGUCAGAAAGAUGGAUUUCCAAAGCCAACCAUUUCCUGUACCAUGCGGAUCUCUGCAAGCAGAGCCUCAUCUUUCAAUUUCAGCUACAUGAGAGAGGAAGGAAGGGAAGGACAUGUCAUACCUGAUGUACCUAUGUGGCUUUGAAGACCCUUCAUUUGUGGGACCACAGCUACAGAACAUAGUUCCUUGGGAUGGAAUUGGUUCUUCCUAUAUUCCCUAUUUCAUGAAAGCUCCAUUAAAAGACCUUAGAACAUUGUGCUGGUUACAUGGAUAUGGUUCCUUUGUGAGAAUUCAUCAAGCAAUGUGAACACUCAUGAUUUAUACAUUUUUUGGUAAAAUAACUUUAUUAAUGUUUAUUUUUUAAAGUGUUCAUAUUAUCACCAACGUCUCUAGGCUAAUGUGUAGUAUUCUCAUUUGGCAAGUGACAGCAAGUAAUCAAAGACACAGGAAUCACAGGCUUUUAUUAGAUCUCGAUUUAAUUUUAGAAUCUAGAUGUGUAGUAGAGACAUCUAGUAGCCUACUGAAUACCCAUUCUCUCUUAUUAACAAAAUCUUGAUUUUUUUUCAGGACAGCAAUGCAAUCAGUUAAAAAGUCACAUUUUUCUGCCUCCCUUGCAUCUAUUGGUAGUCAUACGACCAACUGUGGCCCAAUGAAAUGUAAGCUAAAGUCACUGGAUGGGACACCUGGGAAAAGCCCUUUAAAGGGAAGUGAGGGCCUUUGUCUCUUAUGCCUGGGCACAGAGCUGGGGUCCAAAAAAAUAAAUAAAAUAAAAUAAAGGGAAGUGAAAUAGCUAUAGCAUGGCCCCCUUUUCCUUUUCCCUUUAUUUUUCCUGAAACAUGGGCUUGGUAGGUGGAGCUACAUUAGCUAUCUUGCAACUAUAAGGGAUGAAAACUGCGUGCUACAAUUGGCAGAGCAGAAAGAUAGAGGUUAGGUCCCUGAUGACACUGUGGAGCUGUGGUACCAACCCUGGACUUUUCACUAGAAAAAGAUAGCUGACCCCUGGACUAGACCAACCCCCUACAUUUUACACAUGAGGAAAAUGAAGCCCAGAAAGGUUAACACAGUAAGUUAAUGGCAAAACCAGAACCAUAAUUCAGGUCAACUGAUUCAGGCUAUCUGUCUUUCUCUUAAACCAUAGUCUCUCUAAAGAGCUGGAAGAAAGAUCACCCAUGGACUAUGUAGGUUAUUAUUACAAACCCAGCAAUUCUGUGAUAAGGGCAAAGAUGGUUAAGAAAAGCUUCAAGAAAAAUACUCGCGUCAUGCAAUGCUCUGAAGUCCUGAAUUAAGCCAGUACCUUCCUCCCAGUUUCCCAACCUCAGUAUGGUGCACACAAAUGAUAGAGGUGUCUGUGUCAUACCUUCAUUGUAUACUUGUAGGCCUGUUCAGCUUCCAGUUGCCGUCCAGCCUGAAAAAAGUACAGCAGCUGGUGAUGAUGACUUGUCACAAACAUUAUGGUAUGAAGUUCACUGAAUUGCCAGGGGCAUUUUCCAGCACACAUUCCCUUCCUACCACCACCACCUUUGUUUCCCUCCUGCCAUAAGGAGGCAGUGGCCCAAAUGAUGUGAGGAUCCAGAAUAGCCAAAACAAUUUUGAAAAAUAAUAAUUUGUUGCUAUUAUAUACAUUGCUGCCGUAAACAAUCCUCGUACAUGUCUUCCUGAAUUUUUCUUAGGAUUAUAUCUAGAUAUGACAUUGCCAAAUUAUAGAUAUCAAUGUGACUACAUAAUGCCACAUUGCACUUAAAAGUUGUUGUACCAAUUUACAUCCACUAUCAAUUAUGAGACUCCUCAUCGAUGUCGGUAAUACCAUGCUUUAAUUGUUGCCAAUCUAAUGGCAGUCAAUUUCUGCCACGUCAUUAAAUUGCUCAUGCUUACUAGUGACACAGAUCUUCUUUUCAUACAUGUAUUGACUUUUAUAACUUCCACAGCAGCAAACUGCAUUUUUCUAUCCUCUGCUCAUUUUUAA